UCAUAGCUAUUUUGAUCACUAGUCUUACAAUAUUAAGACGUACUAGUGCACUUUAAUUUGAUUCUCAGGAUGCGUUAUUUACUGGACCUUGAGGAUUUUCACUUUCUGCGCUUAGUGCUCAGUGAAUAGGAGAACGGGUUACUUAAACCAUUUCAAUCACAGGAUUUAAAUACAUGUGGAGCUAAAUAGCUAAGGACUACUUUCUUCAACAGAGUCCGCUGUCACAAGCCCUGUUGUUUC